UACGAAGGGUGCGAGCGUUGUUCGGAAUUACUGGGCGUAAAGGGUUUGUAGGCAGAAAUGUAAGUCAAGUGUGAAAUCCCCGAGCUAAACUUGGGACGUGCAUUUGAAACUGUGUUUCUUGAGUAUCGUAGAGGGUGGUGGAAUUGUAGGUGUAGGAGUGACAUCCGUAGAGAUCUGCAGGAACAUCGGAGGCGAAAGCGACCACCUGGCCGAUGACUGACGCUGAGGAACGAAAGCGUGGGGAGCAAACAGG
rnacentral:rRNA from 1 species